rnacentral:rRNA from 1 species
GACGAACGCUGGCGGCGUGCUUAACACAUGCAAGUCGAACGAUGAAGCUGGAGCUUGCUCUGGCGGAUUAGUGGCGAACGGGUGAGUAACACGUGAGAAAUCUGCCCUUGACUCUGGGAUAACUGCGGGAAACUGUAGCUAAUACCGGAUACUUUCCCUGGUGGGCAUCCACUGGGGAAGAAAGAAUUUCGGUCAAGGAUGAUCUCGCGGCCUAUCAGCUUGUUGGUGAGGUAAUGGGUCACCAAGGCGACGACGGGUAGCCGGCCUGAGAGGGUGACCGGCCACACUGGGACUGAGACACUGCCCAGACUCCUACGGGAGGCAGCAGUGGGGAAUAUUGCACAAUGGGCGCAAGCAUGAUGCAGCAACGCCGCGUGAGUGAUGAAGGCCUUCGGGUUGUAAACCUCUUUUAGCAGGGAAGAAGCGAAAGUGACGGUACCUGCAGAAGAAGCACCGGCUAACUACGUGCCAGCCGCCGCGGUAA